rnacentral:rRNA from 1 species
UGCGUAGGCGGAAUAUUAAGUCAGUGGUAAAAUCCUGCGGCUCAACCGUAGAACUGCCAUUGAUACUGAUAUUCUUGAAUGUAGUUGAGGUAGGCGGAAUGUGUAAUGUAGCGGUGAAAUGCUUAGAUAUUACACAGAACACCGAUUGCGAAGGCAGCUUACUAAACUAUGAUUGACGCUGAGGCACGAAAGCGUGGGGAGCGAACAGGAUUAGAUACCCUGGUAGUCC